rnacentral:rRNA from 1 species
UCCCUAUCUGCCGUGGGCGCUUGAGACUUGAGGGGAGCUGCUCCUAGUACGAGAGGACCGGAGUGGACGUUCCUCUGGUGUUCCGGUUGUCACGCCAGUGGCAUUGCCGGGUAGCUAUGAACGGACAGGAUAACCGCUGAAAGCAUCUAAGCGGGAAGCCCCCCUCAAGAUGAGAUCUCUCUGGGAACUUGAUUCCCCUGAAGGGUCGUUGGAGACUACAACGUUGAUAGGCUGGGUGUGGAAGUGCAGUAAUGCAUGAAGCUAACCAGUACUAAUUGCCCGUGAGGCUUGACCAU